rnacentral:tRNA from 1 species
GGGCCGGUGGUUUAAUCCGGUAUAACGUCCGCAUGGCAUGCGGAAGGCUACGGGUUCAAAUCCCGUCCGGUCCA